UUACCAGAUGAAAAAAGGCCACGAACGCAAAAGCGAUGAUUAACUACGAAAAAUCCAACAGGAAGCCGUGAAAAAUAGAAGAAGAAAAGUGAAGAAGAAAGUCGACGUCAAAAUUUUGAAUAGAAAGAGAGAGAAACGGAUUUUGAAAAGAAUAAAAUAAAAAAGAACAAAAAUAAUCCUGAUAACUCCCUAAAUCCCAACUCCCCUAACUUCUCUCAAUUAACUACCCAC
rnacentral:lncRNA from 1 species